rnacentral:rRNA from 1 species
CAGCUUGCUGGGUGGAUUAGUGGCGAACGGGUGAGUAACACGUGAGUAACCUGCCCCCGACUCUGGGAUAAGCCCGGGAAACUGGGUCUAAUACCGGAUAUGACCUCGCACCGCAUGGUGCGGGGUGGAAAGAUUUAUCGGUGGGGGAUGGACUCGCGGCCUAUCAGCUUGUUGGUGAGGUAAUGGCUCACCAAGGCGACGACGGGUAGCCGGCCUGAGAGGGUGACCGGCCACACUGGGACUGAGACACGGCCCAGACUCCUACGGGAGGCAGCAGUGGGGAAUAUUGCACAAUGGGCGCAAGCCUGAUGCAGCGACGCCGCGUGAGGGAUGACGGCCUUCGGGUUGUAAACCUCUUUCAGUAGGGAAGAAGCGAAAGUGACGGUACCUGCAGAAGAAGCGCCGGCUAACUACGUGCCAGCAGCCGCGGUAAUACGUAGGGCGCAAGCGUUAUCCGGAUUUAUUGGGCGUAAAGAGCUCGUAGGCGGUUUGUCGCGUCUGCCGUGAAAGUCCGAGGCUCAACCUCGGAUCUGCGGUGGGUACGGGCAGACUAGAGUGAUGUAGGGGAGACUGGAAUUCCUGGUGUAGCGGUGAAAUGCGCAGAUAUCAGGAGGAACACCGAUGGCGAAGGCAGGUCUCUGGGCAUUUACUGACGCUGAGGAGCGAAAGCAUGGGGAGCGAACAGGAUUAGAUACCCUGGUAGUCCAUGCCGUAAACGUUGGGCACUAGGUGUGGGGGACAUUCCACGUUUUCCGCGCCGUAGCUAACGCAUUAAGUGCCCCGCCUGGGGAGUACGGCCGCAAGGCUAAAACUCAAAGGAAUUGACGGGGGCCCGCACAAGCGGCGGAGCAUGCGGAUUAAUUCGAUGCAACGCGAAGAACCUUACCAAGGCUUGACAUGUGCCAGACCGCCUCAGAAAUGGGGUUUCCCUUCGGGGCUGGUUCACAGGUGGUGCAUGGUUGUCGUCAGCUCGUGUCGUGAGAUGUUGGGUUAAGUCCCGCAACGAGCGCAACCCUCGUUCCAUGUUGCCAGCACGUAGUGGUGGGGACUCAUGGGAGACUGCCGGGGUCAACUCGGAGGAAGGUGGGGAUGACGUCAAAUCAUCAUGCCCCUUAUGUCUUGGGCUUCACGCAUGCUACAAUGGCCGGUACAAUGGGUUGCGAUACUGUGAGGUGGAGCUAAUCCCUAAAAGCCGGUCUCAGUUCGGAUUGGGGUCUGCAACUCGACCCCAUGAAGUCGGAGUCGCUAGUAAUCGCAGAUCAGCAACGCUGCGGUGAAUACGUUCCCGGGCCUUGUACACACCGCCCGUCAAGUCACGAAAGUUGGUAACACCCGAAGCCGAUGGCCUAACCACCU